rnacentral:rRNA from 1 species
CGGUGUGUCAAUGUCCAAUCUUGUCUGAUCUCAAAAGCUAAACAGGGCCAGGUCUGGUUAUGGGAUGGGAGACCACUGGGAAUACCAGGUACCACAGUGG